UAUCAAUUAUGUCAAUGAAACUAUUAAAUGUUGAUUUAGAUAAACAUCAUGAGUCAACACUAGUGCACUAGCAAGUAGCAAAGGUGGAUAGCCCUCCAACUUCCCACAACCCUCUGAUCCCAGGUGAAGACAACAUUAGUCUUGUUGAAGCUUGUUAGAAUAACAAUGUAUUUUAACCUUGUGUCUGUGAGGGUACUACUUUCUGAAACAGAAGGUAAGCAUGUGGCCGUUACUUUGUUACGGACUCCGUCUGACUUGUCAAAGUCAGUGAGACUUUUAGGAUUGUAUUCUCAAGAUUUCACAACUUCGUCUCGUGGCAUAACCUGUCGAAGUUGCCAUUUCUAGCUCUCGAGCCACAAGUCCAAAGUCCACGGUAUGUGCUAAUGACUUCAGCAUACAUUGGCUCUGCCAUUUGGGUGCUGGGUCCCUUGGGUUUUCUCUUUGGUUGGCAUCUUGCCAAUCAAGGGAUUGGGUCUUGGAUGGGCAUUUGUUGCCCUUCUCCUUGCUCCCUUUGGUCUUUGUAUCCACAUUCAAAGAUUAAUAAAAAAAAAUUCGCCGUUCAAAAAAAAAUACAUAGGCUCUGCCUCUUGGCAUAGAUAGGUAAGUGUCGUGGUUGGAAUAAUAUGAUGAGCCAUGUGGUAUGUUCACCAUGAUGAUCAGGCAUAUAAUUAUGACACUGCUGUCAUGAAAUUGUCUUGACUUCAAACUUCAACAGGAUGUCAGUUUGGGAAGAAAAUUACGAGAUGCUUGCGGAUCAUCUGAUCCGCACAGUAAGGACUGAACAUUUCUAAAAUGUAAUACAGUUCUAACUUCCUCGAAAAGUGCAGAUGUCUCCAAUUUGGUUGCACCUAAACCAACUAUGCACUUGAAAACUAGUUUGAGCCAGGAAAUAUACAAUAGGACUGAAUAAGAACACUCAAACAACUAGAAUAAUCGUAGCCAAAAGAGCAAUUUGAUCAAUCAUAGAGGACCUUAUACCUGGUUCUCCUUGGUACACAACAACAACUAGCCUCACCUCUCAACUGAGCUCGGCGGCUUAUUCGGUUUGUAUCGGGCAGGCUCUCGGCCGGCCCACUCGUUACGUGUACUAAGUGGUUUUGCAUUCAACCAUAAUAUAUCGAAUUCGAUAGAGGUUAAUGAUAAAUCACAAUUGCAAUAAAGAUACCAUGGGAUCGAAUGACAUACGUCAUCAAAUGGGGUACAAAAUGGGAAUACCGAAGAAGAUACUCUGGAGAUUUGAGCGUAUUUUAUAGAAUCUAGUUUGCCUCAAAUGAUAAUGGUGACCGUUUGACAUAAAGAUUCAACAACCCCCGGUUUGACGGUGGAAAUUAUCAACUAAUUGUAGAGAGAAGUUAUGAUUCUCAAAUCAUAAUUUUGCAUUCAGAGGUAAAAUUAACUUCAAAAUGAAUUCAGCAUGGCAAAGAACAUAGGGUAAGGUCAUUCAUGUGUUCAAGGGCUCUUCCGAUAAAGCUCGAUCGCAUUAGAGUGCCUAUAGCUAACGUUGAUGUGACCACACUGGAUCACAUCCCUGCUCCACCUUAUUCUAGCAAUUAGACAACGAUACAGAGAGAGCAAAACUCUCCCUUCUCCUCUCAAUACCUAGCCAUUAAUGGGUACAUAAGUACAAACUUUGCUUUUAUUCCUCCGUUAUCGUAAUUUCCAACCAAUAUUUUGCACCCAUAGCAUACGCUAUCGACCAAUUAUCACUAAUGUGCUAAGUGCUGACACAAUCAACACUAUUGCAAGUCUAUCAGAAAUAAUACCAACACUUGAGAAUGAUAAUUCACUACUUUGCAAUCCAUGAUUUAAUCAAAAGCCAAAUAAAUAGUCGUAUAUCCACAAUCAAGCUACCAAGACCUGCCCAAAUUUAGCCCUCCAAUGCACCAUAACCCCUAUCUACCUCUCCACCGACUACCUCACCCAUGCCUCCUGCUUUAUUUUAUCCUUUUCCUUAAACUAUAGCCCAAACGAACAAUAUAAACGUCUUCAUGGAUUUAGUUUCUCCCAUAUUCUAACUAUCAAAAAUUAGGUUUUUACAUGUGGACUAGACAUGUGCCACUUGAAGGCUGAUACGUCUAGGUUCUUUUAUGAAUAUGAAAGGCACAUCUUUGUGUGAGUGCCGCGCACCAAACAAAAGAGAUGCAAAGACGGUUGACCACCUUCUUAUUCAUUGCCCGGUGGCUUGGGAAUUCUGGACUAUGGUAUUUCCGUGGUUUGGGAUAUAGUGGGCUAUGUCGAAGAACAUUAUGGAACUCUUAAUUGCUUGGAGAGGUGUUAGAGUGGGAAAGAGAAAGAAGCGAGUUGGGGCUUUGAUUCUGCUUUGUUUGAUGUAGAUAUUAUGGCGGGAAAGAAACUGGAGAUGUUUUGAAGGGGUCAAAAAGUCCUUGAUUAGAAUUAAAAGUUUUUUGAUGAAUAGCUUGUAUAGUAGGGACAAGAGAGAAUGUAAUCCUUCGAUUGCCCAAUUUUUAGAAUGGUUUGAACUUCUCCUUCCUUAGGAGAGUGUAUAGGGCCUUUUAGUCUUGUGGCAUUUCUUGUAUACUGGCGGCAUUUCCUUUUUGCCUUUUUGUUAAUAAAUUACGUAACAAAAAAAAAAACAAACAAACAAAAAACCCAUGUGCAGAGGGGUAGUCCAAAGUCCGCGAUGCAGUAGGAUUUAGGGGCGUUUGUGUCUAUUUACCGUCCUUAGUAUUGUUAGGGUCUUGAGUCUAUAUAUAGGUAAGUUGUCUUUAAUUUUGGUAGCUUUUUAUUAUUAAAAAUAUUGAAUAUAUUGAUUGAGACAUAGUCUCUCUCUACCCUUUGGGGGUUUAUCCCUUUGAAUGAGAUUUUUCUCAUUUCUUACGAUCUUGGAUUCCCUUCGAAAUUUUGAUUGCAUCAUUUGGUAUCAGAGCUUCUAGGCUUGAUCUCCACCGUUCUUCUCGCCGGAAUUUUCCGAAGCUCAUCAAUGAUAUCUUGGUGUAUAGUCGGUGUUUUGAAGAUCACUCAUCCCACCUCCAACAAGUCUUUGAAAUCUUGAGAAGAGAGAAAUUUUAUGGGAACUUGAAGAAAUGUAGUUUUGCCGUUGAUAUUGUGGUAUUUUUGGGAUAUGUGGUGUCUUCAAAAGGGGUUCACAUGGAUGAAGACAAGAUUAAGGCCAUUGUGGAAUGGCCAACGCCUACAAGUGUUCAUGAGGUGAGGAGUUUUCAUUCUCAAGGAAAGUCAUGAAACUGGGUAUGUUCUAGUGUUGGUUCCUAUGGCGGAUAUGGCUGUGUCGGAUGUUCCCGAGGCGAUUUCUAAACUUUUGAAGGAGUAUGUUGAUGUGUUUCCUCAAGAGUUGCCUCCCGAAUUGCCUCCUUUGCUAGAUAUUCAACAUUGCAUCGACUUGGUAGCCGGGGCGCCCCUUCCGAACAAGCCCGCAUAUAAAAUGUCUCCAAGGGAGAGGGAAGAGAUUCAAAGGCAAGUUAAGGAUCUUUUAGAGAAAGACUACAUAAGGGCAAGCCUUAGCCCUUGUUCGGUGCCGACUCUUUUGACUCUGAAGAAGGAUGGUUCGUGGAGGAUGUGUGGAUAGUAGAGCUAUCCACAAGAUCACUACCAAGUACCGCUUUCCCAUUCCGAGGCUAGAUGAUAUGUUGGAUUGCCUUGCCGGUUCAAAGGUCUUCUCAAAGAUUGAUCUAAGAAGUGGUUAUCAUCAAAUUCGAGUUCGCCCGGCAGAUGAAUGGAAAACGGCUUUCAAGACCCCUCAUGGCCUCUUUGAAUGGCUUAUGAUGCCUUUUGGUCUUACCAAUGCUCUAAGCACUUUUAUGUGGGUAAUGACUCAAAUGCUUCAACCUCUAUUGGGUAUAUGUGUAGUUGUCAAAGGGGGUUCAUAUGG